CAAAAAUAUAGAAAUUAUUUGGAGGAUUUAAACAUAACCUUCUAGUUCAACAUCUACUGUUUUCUAGCUAAAGAAUUGUUUGUGAACAGAUAAUUAAGAUUCAUCUGUCUGGCAUGCUAUAGAUGAAUAACUUUAUUCCUCCAGAGUUGCUUCACAUUUAGAGACACCUUCCUAACUUGAUUGCAGUUUUUGUAUGUGUGCAUGUAGUUUUACUCAGUGUCAGGCUGCACUGCAUGCUGGCACUUCUGCACUGUUGGUACUAUAGCCAGAGCAGACAUUUCUACCUCCUGACAUUUUGCAGUCUCUAUUCCCUGAGGGAUGUGUGCUAAGGGAACUGUCAGAGAAGGGUUAUAUGAUUGCGUGUUGCAGCAGCUGUUGGUUGGCUUACAUCUUCUCUGCAAGAAGGGACUGUUUCCAACUAGCCAUGAUUUGGGCCAGGGUCAGGCAGUUGGUGCUGGCCGAUGGCUCUGUUAUGUAGAGAACAUGGACUUUGGAGAACUGGGUGUGGCAUGCUGGGACGGGAUAAGGGGAGUGAUGGGAGCUGAGGGUCUGUAUGUGUGCGCAUGGGCACGUAUACAUGUCCUCUGAGGUUCAGGAUUGCCAGGGCACAGUGGCGCAGCCUGGUUUAG
rnacentral:lncRNA from 1 species